UUCCAUAUGCACAGUAAAAUUACGAAAUUUCCCAUGUUAACAUGUGUAUCUGUGUUGUGAGCUGUCGUUCAUGCUUUUCUCGGUGGUUUAUGGAAUUCGACAUCAACUGUUUUCCUGCACCUCUUCCUUCCUGCUCCAGUUCUCCAUUUUCGAUAGCCUUCCUCAUCUUUCAACGAGAUUCUUCAAUCAAACAAAACCACCUCCAACUCUGUAAAUUGCUUUUCCACCUGUUCACCCAAAUUCGAUGUAACACGCGAGAACCGCGACGUACCACCACUCCAUCCUCGCAUUUUCCAUAACCCUCUAUACGGAAGGGUUCCAAGGAUUGAAAAAAUUAUGGGUUCUUGGAGGAUUGGAGUGAGUGAAUCUUCCCCUCCGCCUCUUCGCCUCAUCUGGCAAAACAUCGUCCCAUUUAGCUCUGUUUCUCGCAAUUAACAGAAAAAUAUUCGAAACCUAAAACCCUCAAACCAGCAAAGCGAAUUCCCACACUUAAAAUUCGAACCCAACAAAUCGAUUUCAAGUGCUAAGCGGCUAGGUUCUAGGUCUUCUAAUUCCGGCGAGCUGUUUUCGCACGAAUGCCGGCAAACCGUACCGUGUCGUCGUCUUGCCUUCGUCUUUCAGUUUCGAAAUUCCAAUUUAAGCGGUCGAUGAAAGCAGAGUGGGUAAGAUCAGUUGCUCUGCAGCCUCACCCUCCAAACGCUACCCCCAUCACUUUGCUUCCCGGCGAUGGCUUGGCCUCAACCUCGCCCCCUCCAUCGAUGGUUUCUUUUAAUUCUGCUUCCGUUUUCUUCCUUUUCUCAAUUUUAUUUCAGGUGCCUGAGAAACGGUGGGAAAAUUAAAAGGAAAAGUCUUUUAAUUUUCCCAUAUUUUCUUUGGGUUAAUGUUUAACAAUUUGAGCUGCUCUGUGUGUUGUAUAUUCGAGAAAUUUUGUUGGGAAAUUAGUAAUUAUAUAACAUUUGGAUAUUUGUAUAACUGAAUAUGUUUACAUAAACUAGAGAUUGAUUUUAAGUAUGAAGAAGUACCUAUUGGUGGAGCUGGCUUAGAUUUGACUGGAGUGCCAUUACCUGAUGAGACCCUUUUGUCAGCUAAGCAAUCGACGCAAUUAUUCUUCUCGAAGCAGUUGGGCGUAGAAUUUGAAAUUUGUUGAGGGGGCCUAAUGUUACCAUUGAUGAAGUCUGCGCUUUUGGAAGGUAAGUAGUGAUAUUUAAUUAUUGUUUAUUGCAUUUUGUCAAAUUUUAUGGGAAAUUUUCUGAAUUAGGUGUGUGCUUGAUCCGAAAAAGUCUCAGAACAUUGCAAUUCUUGCUUAUUGCAUUGUGUCCAAUUUGGAAGGUAAGUUGUGAUUCUGUAAGGAUGUAUUGAAGGACCAUUUGUUUAGUUCGUUAGUGGAAUUUCGUUAUUUAUGUAUUUCCGAUAUACUUGGUACAUUGAUAAUUAAGGUUUAAAUGUCAUAAGGUUCCCUUGGUUUAUGAUUGACAAAUAAGAAGGAAUUGAAGAAGUGGGUUUAGCCUUUUAGGUUAGUGGGGAGAACGGUUACAGAAUUGUACUUGUUGUUAUUGCAGGGAAAUGAAACAUAAUUGCCGCUUCUGCAAAAUUAUCGAGUGGUAGCAAAUUUGCAGAUUCCCUAUUCAAUUGAAGUAAUUUGUUUCGAAUUUUAUUUGUCUUCCUGUAAUUUUCUGAAAAAAGGGAUUGUUUUGUUGCAAAAAGCAAGGCUAUGCUCCCAUUUCUUCAAGACUUGAAGUUUUCUAUAUUCCCUGGCUUUAUCUUCGAAUUCAGGAGCAAUUCCAGAAUUCUUAGAACGUUUGAAUUUUUUGGAAUCUCUGAAUCUAUCUUAUAACAAUUUUGAGGGCAUGUUGCCGAUCAAGGGAGUGUUCAAGAAUGCAAUGGCGACAUCAGUUGAAGGAAAUAGCAAGCUUUCUGGGGGCAUAUCUGAAUUUCAUUUGCCAAAGUGCAACUCUCCAGCAUCCAAAAAAAAGAAGGAUUGAGCUUAACCAUGAAAUUGGUUCUCUCUCUCAUUUGUGGGAUUUUUGGAGUUAUUUUUGCACUAACCUUUUUGUACCUUUAUUGCUCACGGAGGGAUAAAAAAGAUCGCACUUAAAGUGAUUUAGACAAACUUCCCCAGAUGUAUCAUACCAAAGUCUUCUAAGAGCAACAAAUGGAUUCUCCUCAACCAACUUGGUCGGUAUGGGCAGUUUUGGGUCCGUUUAUAAGGGAAUACUUGAGCAAGGUUAAACUACAAUUGCGAUCAAGGUACUCAACCAUGUUCAUUUAGCAGGGCUUACAAAAGUUUUAUUUAUGAGUGCGAGGCUUUCCGAAAUAUUGGACACCGUAAUCUUGUCAAGAUAGUCUCAGCAUGUUCUGGUUUUGAUUAUCGCGGUCACGACUUCAAGGCCUUAAUUUACGAGUUCAUGGCUAACGGGAGCUUGGAGGAAUGGCUAUAUCCA